rnacentral:rRNA from 1 species
GACGAACGCUGGCGGCAUGCCUAAUACAUGCAAGUCGAGCGAACAGAUGAAGUGCUUGCACUUCUUACGUUAGCGGCGAACGGGUGAGUAACACGUAAGGAAUCUACCUAUAAGCGGGGGAUAACAUUCGGAAACGGGUGCUAAUACCGCAUAAUAUCUUCUUCCGCAUGGAAGAAGAUUGAAAGACGGCUCUGCUGUCACUUAUGGAUGACCUUGCGGUGCAUUAGUUAGUUGGUGGGGUAAUGGCCUACCAAGACGAUGAUGCAUAGCCGACCUGAGAGGGUGAUCGGCCACAUUGGGACUGAGACACGGCCCAAACUCCUACGGGAGGCAGCAGUAGGGAAUCUUCCGCAAUGGGCGAAAGCCUGACGGAGCAAUGCCGCGUGAGUGAAGAAGGCCCUCGGGUCGUAAAACUCUGUUAUAAGAGAAGAACAAAUUGUAGAGUAACUGCUACAGUCUUGACGGUAUCUUAUCAGAAAGCCACGGCUAACUACGUGCCAGCCGCCGCCGUAA